UUUCCCAUUUUGUAUUAGAAACCGAAAAGAUCAGAAGCCUUCCUUUAGUAUCCAUGCGUGUACGAAGAUCUGACCGUGUUAAUGGACCACUACGAGGGAGGAAAGCCUCUUGGAAAUAAAUGGAGGCAGACGAGUAGACAAUGUACAAGCGCAGCUUAGGAGCUUAACAAGGGACUACUUUGAACAAAUCCAACUAAAGGUGUCAAAAAUUCAAAUACCUCCAAGCCUUUUUGGAACUUUUUAUCACCGAUGAAGCUUCGCAGCAUGCGAAUAACGGAAG